AAACUGCGAUAAGUAGUGUGAAUUGCAUCUAGUGAAUCAUCGAAUCUUUGAACGCACCUUGCACUCACUGGUAUUCCGGUGAGUACGCCUGUUUCAGUAUCAUUGAAAACACACAAUCAAAACUUUUUUGUCUUGAUUGGCUUUGGGCUAGUUUGAUUCAUUCAUUUGGAUCAAGCGGCCUGGAAUCUAUUGUCUGGCUAAUCGCAUCGUUGAUGAUCGCUAUUAGACUUUGGCUUUUUUAAAUGAACUGGAGGUUGAUUAACCAGUUUUAGCUUUAGUCGAAUGGUCAUUGUAAAUCGAUCUUGGUCCAGCGGUUGAGGAUAACCGAAAAGUAUAACCAUAUAACAAUCAUUUUUUUCGUAUCGAUCUGAAAUCAGGUGGGACUACCCGCUGAACUUAA
rnacentral:misc_RNA from 1 species